UAUGUAGGAGUGAAAGGACUUGGAUUAUAAAUACUCCCAUGGAGUGCUUUGCUUUAUAGGUACUUUUGUGUUCUUUGAAAUAGUUAUAAAGAUUGGAGGGUUUUUUUGUCUUUGUUACUGCUGUUAUUAUCCUUGUCUCAAUAUGAACUACUUAUUUACUGUUGUGCUUUGYUUUAUGCUAGUGGCUAAAUUUCAAGCUUCUCUAGCUCCUUACAGAGGGCACUGUCUCUGCAUAGAUAAAGGCUAUAAUGUUAUUCCUACAAGAAAUGUGGAAAAAAUUGAAGUGUUUGCUGAGAGCUCUUCUUGUGAACAUGUUGAGAUUAUUGCUACRUUGAAGUUUCCAAAAGAGCGAAGAUGCCUGAACCCUGAAGCUAAGCAUGUCAAGAUGAUGAUGAAGCACUUAAUGAAGAAACAUUCUGCAGGAAAACUUCGUGUGUGAGUGACCAGCGCAGACCUGCUCUCAGACUGCGGUUGUGGGGCUCUGGAGCUGAAGCAUGCCCCUUYGCCAUGGGCUCUGUACAGCUCUGCAGACAAACUGCAGCUGAGGCUUUUCCAUAUUCUCUUCAAUUCCAAGACUCAGGCMCCUGCAACAUCACUGGUGAUUAACACCUGGAGCAGCAGUGUGUCUCAGCAUGUGCUGUGCAUGCAUGUGCUUCCUACACAGAAGCCAAGCUGUUAAGAUGGUAGCAGUAAGACUAGAUCUAACCUCUGGGGUGUCCAAUAGCUUCAGGUUGCURUUGGCAGGCAUCUGUUUUUCUGUUACCAAGUAUUUGCUUGAGCAGCUGAAGUAGCUGUUUUCAUUACUGUAGUAAGAAUGAGCCUCCUACUGAGGUCUUAGCUUACCUUUCAUAAGCAAGAAUCCAAAUGAUUUUGGACCCCUUAACAAUGUCAUGUUUAAUCCCUAAAUGCAUAUUUCGUUACUUUCUAUGUGACUGUAUGUAAUGAGAGUAACUACUGGAUACAAGCUAAUUUAUAAUCUUUGUAAGUAAAAUCUGUACUAUAUUAAGUAGCAAUGUAAAUGUUAGCUCUAUAGUGUAAAUAUACAGCUACCUACAGAAGAGAAUGUAACAAAGUAGAAUAAGCUCUAAACUUUCUAUUACUGUCUUGUAAAGGUAAACUAAUAAAAGACACUGAACUGAUUAUUUCUC
rnacentral:lncRNA from 1 species